UAGCUCAGUUGGUAGAGCAUGGUGUUUGCAACACCAGGGUUGUGGGUUUAAUUCCCAC
rnacentral:tRNA from 1 species